rnacentral:rRNA from 1 species
CCUACGGGAGGCAGCAGUGGGGAAUAUUGGGCAAUGGAGGCAACUCUGACCCAGCAAUGCCGCGUGAGUGAUGAAGGUUAUUUUAUUGUCAAGCUCUUUUCUUUGGAACGAAUAAAUGACGGUACCAAAGGAAUAAGCCCCGGCUAACUACGUGGAAGCAGCCGCGGUAAUACGGAGGGGGGAAGCAUUGUUCGGAAUGACUGGGCGUAAAGGGGGUGGAGGAGGUUUGAUAAGUUAGAUGGGUAAAACCCAGGGCGUAACUUGGGAGCUGCCUCUAAAACUGUUAGACUUGAGUACUGGAGAGGAUAGUGGAAUUUCUAGUGUAGCGGUGGAAUGCUUAGAGAUUAGACGGAACAUCAAUGGCGAAGGCGACUAUCUGGACAACAACUGACACUGAGGCACGAAAGCGUGGGGAGCAAACAGGAUUAGAUACCCCAGUAGUC